UUCCGGUUGAUCCUGCCGGACCCUACUGCUAUCGGGGUGGGACUAAGACAUGCGAGUUGAGCGUCUCUAUGCCAUGGUAGAGACGCGGCGUACGGCUCAGUAACACGUGGCUAACCUACCCUUAGGACGGGGACAACCCCGGGAAACUGGGGCUAAUACCCGAUAGGCGAGGAGGCCUGGAAUGGUUCUUAGUCGAAAAGGCGUUGAAACCAUGCUUUUCGACGUUGCCUAAGGAUGGGGCCGCGCCCGAUCAGGUUGUUGGUGGGGUAACGGCUCACCAAGCCUAUAACCGGUACGGGCCGUGAGAGCGGGAGCCCGGAGAUGGGCACUGAGACAAGGGCCCAGGCCCUACGGGGCGCAGCAGUCGCGAAAACUCCGCAAUGCGCGAAAGCGUGACGGGGCUACCCCGAGUGCCGUCCGCUGAGGAUGGCUUUUCCCCGGUGUAAUGAGCCGGGGGAAUAAGGAGAGGGCAAGUCUGGUGUCAGCCGCCGCGGUAAUACCAGCUCUCCGAGUGGUAGGGAUGAUUAUUGGGCUUAAAGCGUCCGUAGCCGGCUUAGCAAGUCUCCUGUUAAAUUCAGCGACCUAAUCGUUGAGCCGCGGGAGAUACUACUAGGCUAGGAGGCGGGAGAGGCCGACGGUAUUCUCGGGGUAGGGGUGAAAUCCUAUAAUCCCGGGAGGACCACCAGUGGCGAAGGCUGUCGGCUAGAACGCGCUCGACGGUGAGGGACGAAAGCUGGGGGAGCGAACCGGAUUAGAUACCCGGGUAGUCCCAGCUGUAAACGAUGCGGGCUAGGUGUUGGGGUGGCUACGAGCCACUUCAGUGCCGCAGGGAAGCCAUUAAGCCCGCCGCCUGGGGAGUACGGCCGCAAGGCUGAAACUUAAAGGAAUUGGCGGGGGAGCACCACAAGGCGUGAAGCUUGCGGUUCAAUUGGAUUCAACGCCGGG
rnacentral:rRNA from 1 species